rnacentral:rRNA from 1 species
GCAAGUCGAACGCGAAAUUUUUUCUUCGGAGAAAAGAGUAGAGUGGCGCACGGGUGAGUAACGCGUAAGUAAUCUACCCUGGCAUCUGGGAUAACCCACCGAAAGGUGAGCUAAUACCGGAUACGUUGAUUUAUCAAGAAAGGUGGCCUCUGUUUCAUGCUACCGUGCUGGGAGGAGCUUGCGUACCAUUAGCUAGUUGGUAGGGUAACGGCCUACCAAGGCGACGAUGGUUAGCGGGUCUGAGAGGAUGAUC